rnacentral:lncRNA from 1 species
GAGGGUAGACUAUAGACUGGUAUCAUCAGGAGAGAGGAGGGUAGAGACUAUAAACGGGUAUCAUCAGGAGGGUAGAGACUAUAGACGGGUAUCAUCAGGAGGUAAGACUAUAGACGGGUACAUCAGGACGGUAGAGACAAUAGACUGGUAUCAUCAGGAGGGUAGAGACGUAGACGGUAUCAUCAGGAGGGUAGAGACAAUAGACUGUAGCUACAUUAGGAGGGUAGAGACUAUAGACUGUUAUCAUCAGGAGGGUAGAGACUAUAGACUGGUAUCAUCAGGAGGGUAGACUAUAGACGGGUAUCAUCAGGAGAGAGGAAGUAGAGACUAUAGACUGGUAUCAUCAGGAGAG